UACGGGGGGAGCAAGCGUUGUUCGGAUUUACUGGGCGUAAAGGGCGCGUAGGCGGCCAGCGCAAGUCAGUUGUGAAAUCUCCGAGCUUAACUCGGAAAGGUCAACUGAUACUGCGCGGCUAGAGUGCAGAAGGGGCAACUGGAAUUCUCGGUGUAGCGGUGAAAUGCGUAGAUAUCGAGAGGAACACCUGCGGCGAAGGCGGGUUGCUGGGCUGACACUGACGCUGAGGCGCGAAAGCCAGGGGAGCGAACGGG
rnacentral:rRNA from 1 species